rnacentral:lncRNA from 1 species
GGCUCUCAUGAGGACCGCCACAGGAAAGGAAGACCCAGAGCUACCGCUGCUGCAGAGGAUAAGUUCAUUAGAGUUACCAGCCUCAGAAAUUGCAGCCCAAAUAAAUGCUUCACAGAGUUCAAGUAACACAUGUCAACAUCAACUGUUCAGAGGAGACUAUGUGAAUCAGGCCUUCAUUGUCGAAUUGCUGCAAAGAAACCACUAAAAAGAAGAGAUUUGCUUGGGCCAAGAAACAUGCGCAAUGGACAUUAGACUGGUGGAAAUCUGUCCUUUGGUCUGAUGAUUUCCAAUUUGAGAUUUUUGGUUCCAACCGCUGUGUCUUUGUGAGACGCAGAGUAGGUGAAUGGAUGAGAUCUGCAUGUAUAGUUCCCAGCGUGAAGCAUGGAGGAGGUGGUGUGAUGGUUUGGGGGUGCUUUGCUGGUGACACUGUCAGUGAUUUACUUAAAACUCAAGGCACACUUAACCAGCAUGGCUACCACAGCAUUCUACAGCGAUACGCCAUCCCAUCUGGUUUGCGCUUGUUUUUCACCGUAGUUUGAUUUGUUGAACACUUUUUUUGGUUUCUACAUGAUUCCAUGUGUUAUUUCAUAGUUUGUAUGUCUUCACAAUGUAGAAAAUAGUAAAAAUAAAGAAAAACCCUUGAAUGAGUAGGUGUGUCCAAACUUUUGACUGGUACUGUAAAUUGUUUUUAUUAUAUGUAACAUUUUCUUCUUGUAAUAUUCCUCGUAAUUGAAUUAGUUGGUUGCCGGGAGUUAUUCCUGCUCAAAUCACAUAGUUAGGAUUAAAAACUCCUAGCCCCAUUUAAAACAGCCGACGUGUUUUUUUUACUCACCCAGUUGCCGCCAUCUUUAGUCGUUUGCACCUCCAUACAUUGGGACGGGUCUGACUUGAAACUAGAACAUUUACAGGUCUCUGGAAUCUUGCUAUCCCAGUCUCUGUAACUCAUUAUUCCACAACACUUACCCUGCAACAGCAAACACAGUUGUCAGUGAACACGAGGUAAGAAACAGUGAACACGAGGUGAGAAACAGUGAACACAAGGUGAGAAACAGUGAACACAAGAUGAACACGAGGUAAGAAAUAGUGAACACAAGGUGAGAAACAGUGAACACAAGGUGAGAAACAGUGAACACAAGGUGAGAAACAGUGAACACAAGGUGAGAAACAGUGAACACAAGGUGAGAAACAGUGAACACAAGGUGAGAAACAGUGAACACAAGGUGAGAAACAGUGAGAAAUUUACAUUGCUAGUCUUACAAAUUGAUCAUGACACAUUAAGACUUCUUUAUGAAUUGGGUUGCAAAAUUCUGGUAACUUUAAAAAAAUUCACAGGUUUUCCAGAAAUCCUGUCUGACAGAUUCCCAGAUUACGAAGGGAAUGAGCAUGAAAUCCAG